AUUGAACGCUGGCGGCAGGCCUAACACAUGCAAGUCGAACGGUAACAGGAAGAAGCUUGCUUCUUUGCUGACGAGUGGCGGACGGGUGAGUAAUGUCUGGGAAACUGCCUGAUGGAGGGGGAUAACUACUGGAAACGGUAGCUAAUACCGCAUAACGUCGCAAGACCAAAGAGGGGGACCUUCGGGCCUCUUGCCAUCGGAUGUGCCCAGAUGGGAUUAGCUAGUAGGUGGGGUAACGGCUCACCUAGGCGACGAUCCCUAGCUGGUCUGAGAGGAUGACCAGCCACACUGGAACUGAGACACGGUCCAGACUCCUACGGGAGGCAGCAGUGGGGAAUUUUGCACAAUGGGCGCAAGCCUGAUGCAGCCAUGCCGCGUGUAUGAAGAAGGCCUUCGGGUUGUAAAGUACUUUCAGCGGGGAGGAAGGGAGUAAAGUUAAUACCUUUGCUCAUUGACGUUACCCGCAGAAGAAGCACCGGCUAACUCCGUG
rnacentral:rRNA from 1 species